rnacentral:rRNA from 1 species
AGAGGGUGCGAGCGUUGUCCGGAAUCACUGGGCGUAAAGGGCGCGUAGGUGGCCUGGUAAGUAGGGGGUGAAAUCUCGUGGCUCAACUGCGAGGCUGCCUCCUAAACUGUCAGGCUCGAGCAGAGUAGAGGCAGGUGGAAUUCCCGGUGUAGCGGUGGAAUGCGUAGAGAUCGGGAAGAACAUCGGUGGCGAAGGCGGCCUGCUGGGCUCUUGCUGACACUGAGGCGCGACAGCGUGGGGAGCAAACAGGAUUAGAUACCCUGGUAGUCCACGCCCUAAACUAUGUCAACUGGUUGUCGGGGAAGCAAUUCCUUGGUAACGAAGCUAACGCGUGAAGUUGACCGCCUGGGGAGUACGGCCGCAAGGUUA